UGUCCUCAUGUCCAUGACACACAGGAGGACUGAGGAAGAGAAAGGUCACAGAGCUAUCUGUCUAUCUGGGAUUAAUCUGUCUGAACCACUAUCCAUACUGUGUGAAAUAUGCUGGCAUACACAGUUUACCAGCUACCCAGGCUUCUACCCUCCUCCACGUAUCCCAUCUUGUGUGCAAAGGAUAUCAACCCCUAAAGGUUAUAUAUUAAACCUAAAUAGGGGACUGUGAUGGCUUCCUAAGUGGCUUAGCAGUAAAGAACCCACCUGCCUAUGCAGGAGAUGCAGGUUCGAUACCUGAGUAGGGAAGAUCCCUUGGAGAAGGAAAUGGCAACCCACUCCAGUAUUCUUGCCUGGGCAAUCCCAUGGACAGAGGAGCCUACCAGGUUACAGUCCAUGAGAUCACAAAGAGUCAAUCACGACUUAGUGACUAAACAACAAGGGGACUGCGAUAGAUGGACUAGGACUUUGCAAGAGCUAGCUGUAUUUCCUGCCGCUUCUCAGAAACUGAACAGACAGAAAUUUCAGACUACUCAGAAACUGUAUAGACAGGGACCUCUUGCUUUCUUUUCUCUCUUCUCACAGCAGAAGGCACUGGAGGCAGGCAGAGCCCAAGGUUUUAGAUUUCAUAUGCAGGUUUCCAAGCCUUGUGCCUAAAGAACUGCAAGAUUCCCAUGUGCCUAGAGUCUCUCUUGCCAGGAGACUGACAGAUUCUAGUAAAUUGUUGUUUAGUUUCUCAGUCAUGUCCUACUCUGCGACUCCAUAAAUAGUAGCCCACCAGGCUCCUCUCUCCCUGAGAUUCUCCAGUCAAGAAUACUGGAAUGGGUUGCCAUUUUCUCUUCCAGGGGAUCCUCCCGCCCCAGGGAUCAAACUGGUGUAUCUUGCAUUGGCAGGUAGAUUCUUUAUCCCUGUGCCACCUGGGAAGCCAUUCUGGUAAAUAUUCAACUGUAAAGAGCUGCUGGUCUUUUUUCAGUUAUGUGAUUGAAGUUUCAAAUAUCCCUGGUAUGGCUCUAGGGCUUGUGGUUUUAUUGAACUUUGCUAGUAUGUCACUGUUUACAAAGGUGAAAUUGCAGAGUGAGCAUAUAAAACAGCUGCAGUGUUUGUUACAGCAAGCAGUAUUCAGGAAAGUGCUCUUUGCUGUGAGAUGCCGUUUAAGAUAUCAGGGCUGCCUUACACAGCCGCAAACCAGCUUCCCCAACCUCAUCCUACCGUGUCUCCUUUCCCUGUUAAUUACAUUUCACUUGGCUUCAAAUUCCCUCUAAGUAACCUCAGCCUAGAAAAUGCCAAGGCCUUUACAAUUAAGAGAUCUGUGGACCGUGUAAUGUUAGCCUAUUAUGGAGACACAGCUCAGUUUUCUAAUUUCCAUUUGAUAGAAAGCCAAAAGUCAGCCUUUCUUCAACUUAUGGCACUUUUUCGCCUUGCUGAGUGAGACGUAUGAAACAAUUCAGUGCAUUUUAAGAGAAGAUUAAGUUUAGCAACAUUCCUGAUUGUACCAGUUGGACAUUAUCCUGCCUUAUAUAACAUUCUUGAUAAAAACCAUAUUGUAAAGUUUCCAUGAAAGGGGAGAGAAUUUAGAGUGGUGAAAAAGAAACCAUUGGCUCAAAGGAGGGAGGAGGUAAAUUCCAUGAGUACCUGCAGCUUGUGAGGCAGUGUGUAGGUAUACUUUACUUUAAAUGGAUUGAUAUCCAUUACUUUUAAAAAACAUUUUUACAGAUUUAAAAUUUUUUUCAAAAUUGGUAUAUUUUUUCAAGCUGUUUUUCAAUCACUCAAAUCACAUUUGAAUGCUAAUUUCUGCCUGGUGUGGUUGAGAACUGUUAUUUUUCUUUACACUGUAACAACUCGAACAUGCUUGGUCAAAGGUUUCACCCGCCUUGUGUUAAAAGUACAGAUUUCCAGCCCGGACUCC
ensembl:lncRNA